rnacentral:rRNA from 1 species
AUGAAGGCGCCCUUGGGGGCGAGGAACAUGGUGGCGAGGCGGACGGCGUCGAUGACGAGGGCGGACUGGGUGGUGGCCUCCUGCGCCCAGGCGCCGCCGACGUUGGGCGAGCCGUCGUGGAGGACGACGUCGAAGGAGGCGACGCCCUUGGAGUCCAUGAGCUUGCGCACGGCGGAGCGGCACUUGGAGGUGGUGAUGUCCUCGGUGAGGGAGUGCGCGCCGCGGAUGGGGCGGAUGGGCACGAGGUCGACGCCGACGACGAAGGCGCCGACGGGCGCGUGGUUGACGGCCACCUGCACCCACCCGCCGGGCGCCGCGCAGAGGUCGAGCACCGCCCGCGCCGUCGGCAGGAACCGGAACCGCGCGUCGAGCUGUAGUAGCUUGAAGGCCGCUCGGCUCCGGUACCCCUGCUCCUUGGCGAGGUGGUAG